CCAUGUGAUGAUCCAUUUUUAACCCCGAGAACUUGUUUGCUCCAUGAAGAACAAAAUCAUGCAACAACACUCUAAUUUUUUACUGACC
rfam:Fonsecaea pedrosoi CBS 271.37 unplaced genomic scaffold supercont1.6, whole genome shotgun sequence.